UUUAAUGUCACAGAAACAGGUUCAUUAAAUAUUUUUAUUACUGGUCUCACUGCUAUAAACAGUUGUUCCUCAUAAGUCUCUCUUUAUUCUCGCUUUAUGUGUAAACUUCUCUGUCCUGAAGAUGUUAAAAUGAUAGAUACAAGUCUCCUUAGAGAAAACUUCACUACAUCAGUGAUCACACAGGUUUUUACAUCUGUUUAUGUGAUGUGUCUGCCAUACGAAUCCCUGUGAAUGUGCCGUUACUAUAGAAACGAUAAGGUAUCAGAGCGAGUGCAUUAAUAUAAACCUGCACUACAGUCAGAGCUGCUGUUAUAGAGAAUUUAUCAACACCUUCUGACCAAUCAGAGUCCAGAACUCAACUGUGACAUAAUACAGUUUAAUAGCUACAAUAAUCUGCAUCUGAUACUAGAUAUAAAAGUGUCUAAUAUUUUCUUAUUGAACAUUUAAUCACAGAACUAAAUGUAGAAAUGUUUUCACACAGAUGCAGAUGGACCAGAUCAGUGCUGUUUCAAAUUUCAGAUACAACCAAUCCGUGUAACAUUCAUUACAAAGUAUGAAGUAACAGAUAUUCGGUGUACAAAUCCUGGAGUCAUCUUUACUAUACAGGACCGUCUUCAUGUGUGUGCAGAUCCCAGCUUCAAGUGGGUGAAGAAUCACAUGAGUAAACUUGACCAGCGUCUGUUUAACAGUCUGAACAAACCUACAGCGAGUGUUUAAAUCCUCUCUCCAUUAAUGAAUAUGCACUUUUUACACAGGGAGACAGGAGGAAUAAAGCUUUUUUUUUUUAAAUAUAUAUAUUUAAACAUAAUGUGAUUUAUUCUGUUGACUACAUAUACUAUAUAUCUUACCAGUGAAUAAUAAAUAAAUAAAUAAAUAAUCACUGUA